UACAAGUCUCUCUGUGUAUUCAUUUGGGCCUAACUUGGGCAGGUGGCUGGUGUAAAGCUUACACGUGGCAGUGGGGCUCAGCGGCUUUUGGCAGAAAGAUUUAUUGUAACAUUUAUUGUAACAGUUGGGUCCUAUGGUAACUCUGUUCAUGCUUUCGAUAGAUAUUCACACUGGUUUCUAGAGUGGCUGAACUGAUGUAUCACUUCUAGCAUACAUAAGGGUUCUUCCUUCUCCACCCUCACAAGCACUGGCUGUUUGUAUUUUUGAUAAUGGCCAAGCUUUAUACAUUUAUAAAGCUUCCACACAGCAAAAGAGCAACCAGCCUAGCAAAGAGGCAGCCUAAAGAGCAGGGAAAAUACUUGUCAACUCUGACAGGGGAUUAAUAACCAGAACCUAGAAAGAACUCUAAAAUAUGAGUGAAAAUAGAUUAAUAUGUCUCUACCUGUGUAAGAAUAAAUUCAAAAUGGGCCAAAGACCUUAAAGAAAAACCACUUUGAAUUUAUUUUUAUGCAAGUUGAGACAUAUCAAUCUAUUUUCAUUCUUUUAUAGGUGGAUAUCAGUUUUCAAAAAAAGUAUCUUCCCCCCCAGGAUGUUUUGAUAGUUUUAUCAAGAAUUGGUUUGAUGUGAGAUUGCCUACAUAUACCAAUCUCAACAAAGAAACGUCUGUUGACUAAACAAACCAUCUUGGGAAGAAGAUGAAUUUGAAGCAAAGGAUGUAACUUUGGGAACUUAAUUGGAAAACAUACCAACCUAACAUUUGUAUUUUAGCGAAGAAAGCUUACAACUGAGAGAGUCAUGGUCAUUUAAGAAAUUCGGGGACUGAUAGAUUGUCAAUGGAAAAUUCUGAUUCACCUUCCAGGUUACCCCUGGUCAAGACAGAGGUGGUGCUUUACAGCUGCAAGUAGAAACACACACAUCAAUGGAAAAAUAUCUCUCUAUUACUGCUGCAAAUGGAAUGGAGCUGGUCUGUACCUGUAGUGACUGGGAAUGGAGCCAACCCAUACCUAUGGUGUGUCAGCUGGCUGAAAGCCAAAUUUUCUGUGGCUUUGACGGUUUUGAUUGUGUGUAACCAUAUUACAUAAAUACUCAUGAAAAACUACAGAGAUCUGUCUCCAUAUCCCCUAAAUGGUAGAUUUUAAAGAUAAAAGGCCCUUCUCUACAUUUGCACUGUGAAAAUGUAUGAAGACACAUGUAUGCAUUCCUAUGUUACACAAACUUAUAAAAUAUGUGAAUACACAAGUAUAUAUUUCAUGUGUCAUACAAUCUUAUCGGAAGCAUUGGAACGCAUGUGUCAUUUAUUUUUAACCCUCCUCUGCACUGUCUUCUUCUAUCACCACAAGUAUACAAAACUCCUUUUAGGAGAAAUAAAAGCCACUGGUUUGCUAGCCCUUCUGUAGCGCUUAUAAGAUGUCAGCACCCUAUAGUGAAUUGGCGUUAUUUGCUCUCCAACUUACUACUGCAGAAAUAUUAAUAAAAUGGGUGCCCGCAAACAAAUACUCUUAACUCAUUGCCACCCGGUAGCCUUGUAAAAAUGGAAAACGUGUCAGUUUGAAGACCUGAACAUAAAAGGAAGAUGUGGUGUUGGAGACCCGUCUUGUGGGACCCUAACUCUGCCAUACUCACUCCCCCGGCCUCCGUCUGCACCAUUAUCUGAAUAAAUGAGCUUCACGGAGAGCGAUGUGACAGCAGAGAGUACACCUGCUGUGUGGUGUGACUGGUGCAGCUUAGCAAGUGGCUGCCAGGGAAGCAGUUUCCAAAAGACAGGGAGGAGAGCUGUCAAGGUUCGCUCCCUGUGAAAUUCGCCUGUCAGAGAAGAUGAUGCAUUUGGAUAUCCCACGCGCUUACUUUCCUUUUCCAGCAGUUACCCUAUCAUUUCCAAGGCUUCCACAAUUUUGCUGCGACUUAUCCUUUUAAGGGGCUUUUCCUCUCUCUCGUCUCUCCAUUGACUGUGAGUCCCGAGAGAUGAGUGACUAGAGUCAGGACAGACAGGACAAGCAGCCUCCCCGGCACUCCCUAUCACCCCACUUGCCGUCACCCCACCUGUCGGUCUUUCACUUCAUCUGGAACAGGAGGGAGGUUUGACUUUGUUCAUCAGGGUCUCAACAGUGGACUUUUGUCCGGGAGCGCUCAGGAGAAGGAUGUGAAAUCUAGAGGGCAGGACAGUCGCGAACAGCAAUGGUGACAGUGAGCUCUCCUGUGGAAACUGCCUGGUUCCCUGAAACCUCACAACUUUUCUGUUUUGAACAAUAGGUGAGCCGUUGAGGCUAUAAUAGUAUUCAUCCCGAAGUGUUGGUAAAUGCUACUGUCAUUCUGGUUUAUGCUGUGGAGUCCUUGUUUACAAGCCUUGUCACAAUCUUGAGGAAGCAGAUGUCAUUAUCCUCACUUUAUAGAUGAUGUCCCUAAAAUACAGAGAAGUCAAUGGGUUGAAAGGUCUGUGUUAGAAUGAAACUUGGAUGUCUCACUCAGGGUGAUAGAGUUUUCAAUGUAUGUUUCCCAAGAAGGGCAAUUUUCAUCUCUUAGGCAUCUGGUCUGGAUCCCUCUGCACCAGUGGAGGCAGAGGGCAGGGUGGCUAUGUGGAGGAAGAAUUUCUAUGAGCAGAGGCAAGGACGCCUUUAGACCAGGGUCUCUGAUUUCAGUAGAGCUGUUCCUUUAGGGUUAUUUCACAGCUAGAAAAUAGCAGUGAGAGAAACAGAGGGCUAGAUUUAAGUAAGAGCUCUUCUCCAGUCCCGAACUGUAAGCUAUUAAAAAAAAAGUUAUACUUUCUCCUUAAUGAACUGUGUUAUGUAGGUACCAAGAAAGAGCGGCAUUCCAAUUAAAAAAGUAUUGAUUGCUCAUC